GACGUAGGGCGCAAGCGUUGUCCGGAUUUAUUGGGCGUAAAGAGCUCGUAGGCGGCUUGUCGCGUCGACUGUGAAAACCUGCGGCUCAACCGUAUGGUCUGCAGUCGAUACGGGCAGGCUAGAAUUCGGUAGGGGAGACUGGAAUUCCUGGUGUAGCGGUGAAAUGCGCAGAUAUCAGGAGGAACACCGGUGGCGAAAGCGGCGCGCUGGACCACUACUGACGCUGAGGAACGAAAGCUAGGGGAGCAAACAGG
rnacentral:rRNA from 1 species